rnacentral:rRNA from 1 species
AUUGAACGCUGGCGGCAGGCCUAACACAUGCAAGUCGAACGAGUGGCGGACGGGUGAGUAAUGUCUGGGAAACUGCCUGAUGGAGGGGGAUAACUACUGGAAACGGUAGCUAAUACCGCAUCCCAUCGGAUGUGCCCAGAUGGGAUUAGCUAGUAGGGGGGGUAACGGCUCACCUAGGCGACGCUCACUAGCUGGUCUGAGAGGAUGACCAGCAACACUGGAACUGAGACACGGUCCAGACUCCUACGUGAGGCAGCAGGGGGGAAUAUUGCACAAUGGGCGCAAGCCUGAUGCAGCCAUGCCGCGUGUAUGAAGAAGGCAUUAGGGUUGUAAAGUACUUUCAGCGGGGAGGCGUUACCCGCAGAAGAAGCACCGGCUAACUCCGUGCCAGCAGCCGCGGUAAUAC